rnacentral:rRNA from 1 species
UACGUAGGGGGCAAGCGUUGUCCGGAAUCAUUGGGCGUAAAGCGCGUGUAGGCGGCCUUGUAAGUCCGUUCUGAAAGUCCGGGGCUCAACCCCGGGAGGCGGAUGGAUACUGCAAGGCUCGAGUCCGGAAGAGGCGAGUGGAAUUCCCGGUGUAGCGGUGGAAUGCGCAGAUAUCAGGAGGAACACCAAUAGCGAAGGCAGCUCGCUGGGACGGUAUUGACGCUAAGGCGCGAAAGCGUGGGGAGCAAACAGG